UGAGGAACAUGACUUUCGGUGGGGGAGUAGCCGGCCCAACGGCCGGGUAAUACCGCGUACGACCACAUGGGGACAUCCCUGAGUGGUGAAAGCAGCAAUGCGCCGAUGGAGUGCCUCGCGGCCUAUCAGCUAGUUGGUGAGGUAACGCUCACCAAGGCGACGACGGGUAGCUGGUCUGAGAGGAUGGCCAGCCCACUAGUUGGGGACUGAGACACCGGCCCAGACCUUGUAACCGGGGGAGG
rnacentral:rRNA from 1 species